rnacentral:lncRNA from 1 species
UGAAAUGCAAAGAAUGCAGAAUAACUCGAGUAAUUCUGUUACCACUUAUGAUGUCUCCAAAAUGAGAUUAUAUAUUUUAGUGUAUAUAAUAUCUCAAGUGUGCUAAGGUGUGGAACGGAAAUAUCCAAUCUAUUCCUUAUCAGAUUAUUCAUUCAUUAAAUUUCCAAUAGCUAGUCACAUCGAAUUGUUUGCUCACCUCUUAUCUAUUGACAAAACCAAAUAAAUAGGUAUCGUGUUGAGGAUAUUGGCACACUGAUCGCAACUUUGUUUGAUAUCAGUAUUAGGCACUGAAAAAUGGCACCUCCACCACCACCACACGAUCCACACGGUCCCCAGGAGCCUCCACAUGAUCCACAUGGGCCUCAGGAGCAUCCUCAUGAUCCUCAUGGUCCUCGUAGACCACUUGGAGGCCCCGGCCCUGGUCCUCAUGGUCAUGAAGGUCCCCAAGAGCCAAUUCAUCCACAACCGUUUUAAACCGACUGAAAGCUAAUUAGGAUUAAGUUGAACUUUUUUGAUAUAAUAAAAGCCUCAAAUAUACAUUAUAAUUUGCAUGCAAUUAUACCGCCAUAUUUUCCUCUCAGCGUUACAAAAUCUCAAACUACAAUAAAAGUAGACAGAUGAUACUGUUUUAUUAGAAAUGUAGAAUAUUAGCGAUGAAAUUAAAUGUUCUCGAAAUUA